UACUGAUAACUGGUAGUGAGUUAUCCCAAUUGAUGGUUCAGAGUCAGUUACAGAUCAAACUCCUUGUUCUAUACUCUUCACUCCCCUUUCACUACUGCACUUAACUAGUCUUAA
ensembl:misc_RNA Y_RNA Y RNA